GAUGAACGCUGGCGGCGUGCCUAAUACAUGCAAGUCGAGCGAACAGACGAGGAGCUUGCUCCUCUGACGUUAGCGGCGGACGGGUGAGUAACACGUGGAUAACCUACCUAUAAGACUGGGAUAACUUCGGGAAACCGGAGCUAAUACCGGAUAAGAUAUUGAACCGCAUGGUUCAAUAGUGAAAGACGGUUUUGCUGUCCCUUAUAGAUGGAUCCGCGCCGCAUUAGCUAGUUGGUAAGGUAACGGCUUACCAAGGCAACGAUGCGUAGCCGACCGGAGAGGGUGAUCGGCCACACUGGAACUGAGACACGGUCCAGACUCCUACGGGAGGCAGCAGUAGGGAAUCUUCCGCAAUGGGCGAAAGCCUGACGGAGCAACGCCGCGUGAGUGAUGAAGGUCUUCGGAUCGUAAAGCUCUGUUAUUAGGGAAGAACGAAUGUGUAAGUAACUAUGCACGUCUUGACGGUACCUAAUGAGAAAGCCACGGCUAACUACGUG
rnacentral:rRNA from 1 species